AUAAACUCUUCUCGUAGAUGAACUGAGCGACUAAGCCCGCAAAUAUCAAGCCCAGCGCAGCGACUUUUCGCCAUUCCACCUCCGGAGUGACGACGACAGCGUUGGCAAUGGUGAAGCCCAGCACGGUCAUCAGCGCAAGGUCGUUUCUCCUUCAGGUUCUUGAAGAACAAGCCCUCGUUCCGGUCCCUCUCGAUUUGGUCUUCGAACUCCUCCAACACCCGGUCAUUCUUCUCGAUCUCCUGCCUGUUCACCUCCGCGGCUUCCUCGAACGCCUGCGCCCGGUUCUCCAGCUUCUCCAUGAUCUGUACAUGCGAAGAGCAGGUGUUAUUUCCCGAAGUGGUCGCCGAGGCUUGAGAGAGAGAGAGAGAGAGAGACCCUGGCGCUGGCUUCGUCGAGCUCUUUGAGUGCGUUCUCCCCUAUCUGGUCGAACUCGGCGUUGGCGUCCUCCGCGAACUGGGUGAGGAACGCGGACCGCUCGUCGAGGAAGUCGGUGAGGCGGACUUUUUGGGCCUGCAGCAUGGCGAUCCGGGCGAGCAGUUCCUGCUUUCGCUUGUCGCCUUCGGACGGGGAAGAGGAAUCGGCACGGCCGGCGUCGUUGGAGCUGCAGAAACUGGAGACCGAUCUCCGCCUGUUGCGUGACGUCUUCCUCUGGGCAGGAGAUGGGUUUGGGCGAUGGAGGGAUGGUUGGAUCGCCUUGAGGAUGCUCAUGAUCUCUCAAUACAAUCUCGAUCGGGUUUCUGGGAUUGUCCGCCUCCCGUUUCGGCUCAGGAAACAAUAUCUACUGUAUUAUUUGGGAAAGUCCACGAAUUAAGAUGACCGUUUUACCCCCUUCUCCUAACAUGGUUUAUCCUUCAUCAAGAGCAUUAUCACAUCCAAGCCGUCCAUUGAUGAUAUGCCUAUGGAGAAAACCCAUCAUCAACCGUCCAUCCCGUUUGAUGGUAACUUCGUUAUUUUUGCAACUAAGAUUCUCGAUGGCAUAGGAAUAUUUCUAGGGAAUAUAUAGGGGUAAGACGGGACAUUUGCCCUUCCAUUGGAUAUAUUGAUCAAAUUAAACCUGUCUAAUUUUGCGCCCGAAAUUAUUGUGAAUAUAACCGUAUGAUUUGGUUUCUGAUGUAUGAAGCGCGUCCACAAUCUUUGCUCCGGCCUCCAUCCGUCCCGGCCAAUCCAUCCCCCAUCGAAUGGACUCCCCGCGGCGUCCCCUCCUCCGUCAUCGACGAGCACCUCGGGAACGUCUUCCGGCGUGGGUGAGUGUCUCAUGUUUUCCGUUACUUCCGUUGCUUCUCCUGUGUUGCACACCAACUGCUUGCUCUUUUGUCUGAACAACCUUGAUGUUAACCUUAGGGUGUAGCUGCUUGUGUUGGCUCAACUUAGCAAUCGGUCAUUCUGCUAGAAAGGACUUCCGAUUUACCAAGCUAGAUAUUUUUUCUGCACAGUGGGUGCUUGUUGUUGUGCCUCCUGCCAUAAUUACCUCUUGUCUUGAUGCUUCAAACUACACCAUCAUGGCCACCAUAAACUCCUAUUGCACCUUCUCACACAAUUCUUAGGAUUUAUUGGAUGCCUAUUUCCCUGGCACUAUGAACUCCUAUUGCACCGACUGUAGAUGCUGCUCUUGUUAAUUUGGUGUUCGAGGACACAACUUUAUGCCCUGGUUCUUUUGAUGGUUGGUGAGCCAACUUUUGUGUUAGCUGCUCAUAGUGCUUGACCAAUGAGACACCGCCCGUGCUCUACUUGUGCUUCUUUUGCGAUCGUUCGCAAGAACAAAUACAAGCAAUGCGCUUUAUGCAUCAUAAUGGAAGAAAAAUGUUGGCUCAACAUCUACAGUCCUGCUACUCCCUCUUACCUAUCAACAAGCCAGCAGUUUAGCUGCAUUUUCCUACCUCUUCAUGUCUCUAUAUCUCUCUCCACUGUCAGCUCCUCAACAACAUAUAUGCUGCUUUGUCUUACAUCUUCUCUUGAUUCUUGCUCGCAGUGCUUUGGCUGUAGAAUUUUGCAUGCAGGACAUUGAUAAGUGACUUAAUUUUAGUUCUUAUUUUACUUUGUUGGUUUUCUUCUCACCAGUCUUGUGUUUUAGGUGUUGUCUUUAUUCUGCAUUUACUCUCAAUAUGGCUACUUUGUUAUAUGUUUCA